rnacentral:rRNA from 1 species
CAGCAGCCACGGUAAUACAGAGGGUGCGAGCGUUAAUCAGAUUUACUGGGCGUAAAGCGUGCGUAGGCGGCUUCUUAAGUCGGAUGUGAAAUCCCUGAGCUUAACUUAGGAAUUGCAUUCGAUACUGGGAAGCUAGAGUAUGGGAGAGGAUGGUAGAAUUCCAGGUGUAGCGGUGAAAUGCGUAGAGAUCUGGAGGAAUACCGGUGGCGAAGGCAGCCAUCUGGCCUAAUACUGACGCUGAGGUACGAAAGCAUGGGGAGCAAACAGGAUUAGAUACCCCCGUAGUCCCUGUCUCUUAUAC